rnacentral:rRNA from 1 species
GACGAACGCUGGCGGCGUGCUUAACACAUGCAAGUCGAACGGAAAGGCCCUGCUUUUGUGGGGUGCUCGAGUGGCGAACGGGUGAGUAACACGUGAGUAACCUGCCCUUGACUUUGGGAUAACUUCAGGAAACUGGGGCUAAUACCGGAUAGGAGCUCCUGCUGCAUGGUGGGGGUUGGAAAGUUUCGGCGGUUGGGGAUGGACUCGCGGCUUAUCAGCUUGUUGGUGGGGUAGUGGCUUACCAAGGCUUUGACGGGUAGCCGGCCUGAGAGGGUGACCGGCCACAUUGGGAAUGAGAUACGGCCCAGACCACUACGGGAGGCAGCAGUGGGGAAUAUUGCACAAUGGGCGGAAGCCUGAUGCAGCAACGCCGCGUGCGGGAUGACGGCCUUCGGGUUGUAAACCGCUUUCGCCUGUGACGAAGCGUGAGGGACGGGAAUGGGUAAAGAAGCACCGGCGAACUACGG